rnacentral:rRNA from 1 species
AUUGAACGCUGGCGGCAGGCCUAACACAUGCAAGUCGAACGAGUGGCGGACGGGUGAGUAAUGCAUGGGGAUCUGGCUGAUGGAGGGGGAUAACGACUGGAAACGGUGGCUAAUACCGCAUACUAUCGGAUGAACCCAAGGGGGAUUAGGUAGUUGGUGGGGUAAAGGCCUACCAAGGCGACGAUCUCUAGCUGGUCUGAGAGGAUGACCAGCCACACCGGGACUGAGACACGGCCCGGACUCCUACGGGAGGCAGCAGUGGGGAAUAUUGCGCAAUGGGGGCAACCCUGACGCAGCCAUGCCGCGUGAAUGAAGAAGGCCUUCGGGUUGUAAAGUUCUUUCGGUGGAGAGGCGUUAACCACAGAAGAAGCACCGGCUAACUCCGUGCCAGCAGCCGCGGUAAUAC